rnacentral:rRNA from 1 species
ACCAGUGGCGAUAGCACGCUGAAUGCACCAGUUCCCAAUGGAUCACUGAAGUUAAGCAAUGGAGUAUGUGGUUAGUAUCCGGAUGGGUGACCAUCUGGACAAUCGCGUGCUGCUGGCU